rnacentral:rRNA from 1 species
UACGUAGGGUGCGAGCGUUAAUCGGAAUUACUGGGCGUAAAGCGUGCGCAGGCGGUUUUGUAAGUCAGAUGUGAAAUCCCCGGGCUUAACCUGGGAACUGCAUUUGAGACUGCAAGGCUAGAGUGUGGCAGAGGGGGGUAGAAUUCCACGUGUAGCAGUGAAAUGCGUAGAGAUGUGGAGGAAUACCGAUGGCGAAGGCAGCCCCCUGGGUUAACACUGACGCUCAUGUACAAAAGCGUGGGGAGCAAACAGG